UAGUGAUUCAUUUAACAAUAGCUAAUCUUACUAUAUCAUUAGGCAGAGAGCUUUUCUGAGCAAGAGCAAAUGGAGUCUAGUUCUGUCCCUUUCUUUGCCUUGAAUCCAGGUUUCAGAGAGUGAUUCAUCCUAAAUCCUGCUUCUCCCUAUAUGGCAUGUAAACCCUUCCAGAUUCCUGGAAACUACAUCCUGGUUGUUUAUCUCAGCAAGGUGAGCCGUCGACCGAAGGCUCGUGACCACUAUCUCGAAAAGCAGGUCCUGUGACAGAUGCACUCACAGAAUAUGGCAGAAGUGACUCUCCACCUGUUCCUGGUGUGACCCUUCACUGGCCCAUACUUGUCAUAACACUUUGGCCUGGCAGCUUCGGUUUCUACCUUUAGAAGCCAGUUGUCAAGUAAGAAGCGCAGGUACACUGAAGCCACCAUACUGCACGAAGCCCAGGUGAAGUGGGGGAGGCCUGGGGGGCAAAGCACUACAUGAAAAAAGAAAGUCCAGAAGGCACUGAGGCACCAGCCAUAUGAGGGAGCCAUUUUGAGUGUCCCGCUUGGGUGAGCCUUUGGAUGACUGCAGCCCCGGAUGCCAUCUGAUUGUGAUCUUGAGACUCUAGAUGAGAAUCUCCUGUCUGAUCCCAGCCAAAGCACAACUUUGUGAGCGGUAAUAAUACAUUUUGGUUUAAAUCCAUUUGGUUUUGAGGUGGUUUGUUAUGCAGCAAUACAUAAUGUGAACACUGGCACAGAAUAGGCAGUUGGUAAAUACUUAUCAAAAGAACAAUUAAUAGAUUUUGUUCUUUUCAUUCUUUGAUUGCUGGAAGCUAAAAGGCCCACAGUAAUUCUUAGUCAGACCGAGGAUCAGAAUGUCUUCCAGGGUGGAAGUCUGUCCUGUAUCACAACAUCCUUACCAGAGGCCUGUGAUUUAAUCCUUGCAAGACUAGACCAAGAAGAAGACAACUUCUGCAAGAGUAGGUCUGGGAACUGAGGGUGCAUCAUGGGAGAUAAGACCAGGGCAGUUGGCAGGUUGUCCCUGGCCUCUUUGCUUAUUGUGGCAUAUGUCAUCUUUAUUUUUUUAGUGGUUUUUUUUUUUUUUUGAGACGUAGUUUUGGUCUUGUUGCUGAGGCUGGAGUGCAAUGGUGCGAUCUUGGCUCACUGCAACCUCCACCUCCAGGUUCAACUGAUUCUCCUGCCUCAGCCUCCCUAGUAGCUGGGAUUACAGGCAUGUGCCACCACGCCCAGCUCAUUUUGUAUUUUUAGUAGAGACAGGGUUUCUCCAUGUUGGUCAGGCUGGUCUCGAACUCCAGACCUCAGGUGAUCCACCUGCCUCGGCCUCCCAAAGUGCUGGGAUUACAGGCAUGAGCCACCACGCCCGGCCAACAUGCCAUCUUUAAAUCAUCAUACACAUAGCUGAGUGAGACAGGCAGAAGGCAAGGAAGUCCAUGGAAUGCAAAAGAUAGAGAGGUGAGCAGUGGCUGUGACUGUCUCUGGGCAGUGGAGUUACAACCAAUUUAAAAUAUGUCCUUCUUUUUGUUAAUUUGUAUUUUCUAAACAACCUUCAAAGUAUGUCUUACAGUUUUACCAAAAAUAAUAAAUAUAUAUAUAUUUUUUGAGAAGGAGUCUCACUCUGUUGCCCAGGCUAGAGUGCAGUGGUGUGAUCUUGGCUCACCGCAACCUCCCCCUCUGGGGUUCAAGCAAUUCUCCUGCCUCAGCCUCCCAGGUAGCUGGGAUUACAGAUGUGUGCCACCAUACCCGGCUAAUUUUUGUAUUUUUAGUAGAGAUAAGGUUUCACCAUGUUGCGCAGGCUGGUCUCAAACUCCUGACCUCAAGUGAUUGACCUGCCUUGGCCUCCCAAAGUGCUGGGGUUACAGGUGUGAGCAACACACCUGGCCAAUAAACUUUUAUUUAACAAUUUCACUUGUGCUGUGAACUUUGCAGAAGGCCAAAACAACCACACCAAAAUUGUAACAAGACAAAACAACCAAAUAGAAACCCAGCCUCCAAAAUUACAUUCUCUUCCUCCAAAAGAUUAAAGCAAGAACUACCAUAUGAUUCGGCAAUCUCACUACUGGGUAUAUAUCCAAAGAAAAUGAAAUCUGUAUGUCCAAGAGAUCUUUAUACUCCCACGUUCACUGCAGCAUUCUUCAAAAUUGCCAAGAUACAAAAUCAACCCGAUGUCCAUGGAUGGAUGAAUAAAUAAAAUGUGAUGUAUAUAUACACACACUAUUCAGCCUUAAAAAAGAAGGAGGCUAGUCAUGGUGGCUCACACCUGUAAUCCCAGCAUUUUGACAGGCUGAGGUGGGAGGAUCACUUGAGGCCAGGAGUUCGAGACCAGCCUUGGCAACAGAGUGAGACACUGUUUCUUGAAAAAAAAUUUGUUUUUAAUUUAGCCAGGUAUGGUGGUAUGCAUCUGUAGUCCUAGCUACUUGGGAGGCUGAAGCAGAAAGAUCACUUGAGCCCAGAAGCUCAAGGUUACAGUGAGUCAUGAUCAUGCCACUGCAUUCCAGCCUGGGCCUCAGAGCAAGACAAGAAGGAAGGAAGGAAGGAAGGAAGGAAGGAAGGAAGGAAGGAAGGAAGGAAGGAAGGAAGGAAGAAGAAGAAGAAGGAAGGAAGGGAGGGAAAAGAAAGAAAGUGAAGAAAGAAAGAAAAAAGGAAGGAAGGAAGGAAGAAAGAGAGAGAAAGAAAGAGAGAGAGAGAGAGAAAAAGAAAGAAAGAAAGAAAGAAAGAAAGAAAGAAGGAAAGAGUCAGCUGGAUGUGGUGGCAUGCACCUAUAGUCCCAGCUACUCUAGGAGAAGCUGAAGCAGGAGAAGGAAGGAAGGAAGGGAGAAAGAAAGAAAGAAAGAAAGAGAAAGAAAAGAAAGAAAGACAAAAAAAGAAAGAAGAAAGAAAAGAAAAGAAAGAAAGAAAGGAAAGAAAGAAAGAAAGAAAAAGAAAGAAAGAAGAGGAGAGGAGAGGAGAGAAUAGAAGAGAAAGAGAAAAACAGAUUCAGCUGGGCAUGGUGGUGUGCACCUAUAGUCCCAGCUAUUCUAGCAGAGGCUGAAGCAGGACAAUGCCUUGAGUUUAUAAGUUCAAGUCCAGCCUGGGCAACAUAGUGAAAGCCCAUCUCUGAAACAAAACGAAACAGAAAAAAGAAAGGAAGAAAUUUUGUCAUUUUUGACAAUAUAGGUGAACCUAGAGGACAUUAUGCUAAGUGAAAUAAGCCAGGUACAGAAAGAUACAUAGUGCCUGAUCUCACAUGUGGGCUCUAAAGAAAGUCUGAAACUCACAGAAGCAGAGAGUAAAAUGAUGGUUAAACAGGAGGAAUAAGUUCUAGUGAUCUAUUGUACAACAUGAUGACUGUAGUUAAUAAUGAAUUAUAUAUUUCAAAAUUGCUAGAAGAGUAGAUUUUUAAUGUUCUGACUACAAAGAAAUGAUAAGUAUUUGAGGUGAUGGAUAUGUUGAUAUGCUUGACUUAAUCAUGCUGCAAUGUGUAUGUACAUAUAACAUCACAUUGUAUCCCAUAAAUGUAUAAAAUUGUUUGUUAAUUAAAAAUAAAAAUUAAAAUUAAGUAAAUAUC
rnacentral:lncRNA from 10 species